CAGAUAAUGAUCUCCCAAGGAACAGCUGCUGGUUUGAACAAAAACCCCAACAUGAUUUUGUUAUAGACAUAUGACUGCAGAGCAGGCAGAAUAAGAUCGCAAUUCACUCCGAAAGGACAUUAGGGUAAUCAGUAUAUAUUGAAAACAUACUCUGCAACUCUCCAUGAACUCGUGACGCUUUAUUUGGCGAGAUACAAUAUAUCUUCUAAAGUGAGAUUCCAGGAAAGAAGGCGAUGAGGAUCUGUCUGAAGUACCUAUUUCUGACACUUGCCUUUUAUCAGACAACUCAGCAAAAUGCCUCCACCUCUUUGGGAAAGAAACAAUUGCAAAGCCUGCUAGAUAACUACCCUCUGUACCAGAUACCAAGGCAUGGAACUGACCCUCUUCUGGUGAAUAUCAACGUGUUGGUGUCCAAUGUGAUCGAUGUGGUAUGUAUGAUGACUUUUGAACACCUAUGGACUGCUACUGUAUCCCUGGCCAGCGGCUCUGUUCAAAAUGUAAAGGUCAAGAUGAAACAGAGAUUGCUCCCAGAUUCUUCUGUGAAGGGAAUUGGGGGCAACACUAAAUUACAGAAGUGUCAAAAGACUCAUUGGCAGCUCAUUUCGGAGGGUUGAUUUUCUUAAAAAUGUUCAUGCCUAGUGUAUGAACUUUACAAUGUGACCUUUUUAAAAAGGAAAAUAUUUGCCCGUGUGACAUACAUACGUAUAUGUACACAACCACAGUGUAAAGCUCAGAAGAAAAACUGAAGUUGAAUUUUUUUCUCCACUAGGAUAUCACGAAAUACACUUUCACAGCUGUCUUGGUCUUGAAUCAGUCAUGGUACAACAAAGAUCUGGUUUGGGAUGAGAAAGAGUACCCCUUCACCACCAUCACCGUGCCCUGGAGUUCAAUAUGGACUCCGAGCCUCACAGUUCGAGAAGCGUUUGACGUGACCUGGAAGGUCGAAUCACCCAAUGUAGUGGUGCGCAGUAAUGGAAAAGUGGAAUUUCUGCUUCCUUUGAGCAUUGGCAGCAACUGUAACUUAAAUCUCUUUUAUUUCCCCCGUGAUAUCUCCAGCUGCACCCUGAGCUUCUUCUCUAUGUCCAAUGAAGUCAGUGAGAUAGAAUUCAAUGUAUCUGUUCAAAAUGAAAUCCUGAAUCUAAAGCGUGAAUAUCUUGUCAUGGGUAUGGACAUCACAAGCCCAAGGAAUAUGGCACAGCCUUAUUUUGUAGUGAAGGUAAGGAUAUGACUUGGUCUCUAAUCCAAACAAGCACCAAAAGCUUCUUUACUAGAUCAAACUCCCUGGAUGCACCCAUUUUUGCAAGCUGCGCUGCAAAAAGUGGUGUUGCCCUAACAACGCACACUUUGGAUGAAACAGAUGUUCAAAAUACGCUUUCCUGCCAUAGUGAUCCUUGUGGUCUCUUUUACAGAUAAAUCUAGAAAACACAGGAAUACGAGCCAUAUUUUCUGUGAUUGUGCCUAGUUUGUUACUUGUUAUUGCUGACCUCUGUGGUUUCUUCGUUCCGCUCCAAGACAGGAUGUCAUACAUGGUCACCCUGUUAUUGGCAUACCUGGUCUUCCACUCCUCUGUGGUUGGAUCUCUACCUGGUUCAUCUUCUUGCAAUCCUCUGCUCAGUUUUUACUACAUGGGUCUCCUGGUGUUGCUAUUCGUAAGCACGAUUGAGACCAUCUUGGUGGCAAAGUUAGUUUCGGACAACAUAUAUCUGUGGCCAAACUGUCUAUUACGAGGCAAAAAGACCAAGGUUACUACUAGGUUAUCUAAAGAUGAAAGUUAUCAUGUUGAAGAUACUAACGAUCCCGGGAAACAAAGUGAGUAAGAAAUAAAGAAAGAUAAGAGUGACACUUCAAAGGCAAUGUGACAAAUAAGACACUUUUGAGUCCAGCAACACCAAACCUUGAUGCUAAAAGUUGUUUGCCAGGAAGGUGGUCUGGAAUCAAAUACUUUUAAAAAAAACCCAAAG